rnacentral:misc_RNA from 1 species
CAUUUUCGUUUUUUUUUCCUCCGGAUCUAUUCGACGGUCUAAUUUCGCGUCGGAAUAAUUUGGACCGCGAUGUCGGGCUCGGAACGAGCUUUCCGGAAUGUACUCACGGGCCCCGUGAGCCCAUCGGGAUGAAAAGUUAGGGACGUGAACGCAAAGACGCGCGAAUUGGGUUUGCUGAUUAAUUGUCUUACUCGUAUUCUCGCCGUANGUAGAGAAAGUGAUUCGCUUCAAGUWAAUUUGCAAUGCAUAACAUGAC